GCGGAGCACAGGCCCCGGACGCGCAGGCUCAGCGGCCAUGGCUCAAGGGCCCAGCCGCUCCACGGCAUGUGGGAUCUUCCCGGAUCAGGGCACGAAUCCGCGUCCCCUGCAUCGGCAGGCGGACCCUCAACCACUGCGCCACCAGGGAAGCCCCCACCUCCACUCCUAUCAGAAAAGAUAAGCAGAAGCAUUUUGCCCUCACCUGGGAGGAAUAAAGGAUGACCUUUACAGUUCUGUCUCAGAGCCUCGCCAAGUCUCUUGCUCUCUAGCACAUAUAGUCUAGAAGGACUUGACCAUCCUGAUCUCCCACAGAACAUCAUGCUGGCCCUUGACAUUGAUGACAUUUUUCUAGUUGCAUCUGGAAGAUGGAAUUACAAGGCACUCUGACAGAGAUGCAACCUCCAGCCAGCUCCCAUACGAGACCCCAGGGCAAGGCCAUGCCUGUUCCGUGAACAACGAUUCUCUAUUUGAAAAUACAGUCAACUUGCAGCUGGGCCCUGGUAGAGACGAGAUGUCUGACUUACAGGACACCAAAGCAGCAUGACAGUGUAGGAUGGAAACAGUAUCCAUGAGGUCAAGCCUGAACACGCCCAGAAGGCCCAAGUGUUUCAAGUUAUCUAUGGCUGUGCAAGAAAAUGCCCAGAACUUCGUGGUUCAAGACAAGCACUUAUUUAUAUGUCGAUUCUAAUCUCCCAGUUUGUCCCACCCUCCCCUUCCCACCCUGUGUCCACACGUCUGUUCUCUGUGUCUGCGCCUCUAUUCCUGCCAUGGAAAUAGGUUCAUCUGUAUAUACACUACCAUGUGUGAAAUAGAUGGCUAGUGGGACCCUGCUGUAUAGCACAGGGAGCUCAGCUCGGUGCUCUGUGGUGACCUAGAUGGGUGGGAUGGGGGAGGGGGUGGGAUGGGGGAGGGGGUGGGAGGGAGGUCCAAGAGGGAGGGGAUAUAGGUGUACAUAGAGCUGAUUCACUUCAUUGUACAGCAGAAACUAACACACUGUAAAGCAAUUAUACUCCAAUUAAAAACAAAAACCAAGGGCUUGUUAUUUCUCAUGAUUCCAUGGGCUGAGAAUUCAGGCA